AUGAGUGAGGUUCCUCACGGGCUUCUCAGAGUUGAUGUCAUCCAUCAUCCAUCACAGGUGACGAUGGCUCUGAGAUUUCUUCUGCUUCUCGUGGCUCUUGUUGGUCACAAUUUGGCAGAUGACAUUAAAUCAGCCAAAUCAGAAGAGAAAGCAGUGACAGGAGAAGAUGUGACAAUCUCAUGCAACUACACAGUUUCAGCCUACAACCUACUGUGGUAUCGCCAGUAUCCCAGAUCAGCUCCACAGUUUCUGGUGCUCACUGCUAACAUGGGUGGAGAUAAGAAAUCAGAUGAAGAUCAGCGAAUAUCUGUGAGGGUGAAUGAAGAGAAAACUCAAGUCUCUCUGCAGAUCUCCUCUGUUCAAGUAUCUGACUCUGCUGUGUACUACUGUGCUCUGAGGCCCACAGUAACACAAAACCACAAUCUUCCAUACAAAAACCUGACUGCUGAGAUAAAUAUGCCUGUAUGUCGUAAUCCAUUUUGAAUAAAUGUAUAACAAUAAAUAAAACAACUCCAAA